CCGACGCGAAGCCUUUCCUGCCCCUUUGCCUCUCAGCCCAGGGAAUGGGGAACCUUUCUAUUCCUACCCCAAGGGGACGCCCCCAGCUCAGCACAUUCCCAACCCCUCAUGGAGUCCUUAAUUCCAAGGAACCCCAGACCCCUUUCCCCAAGAACUUCCUCUCUUUCAUCCAUCCCCAGGAGUUCCCCUUUUCAACUCUUCCUGAGUCUCCCUCAGCACCCCUCUCACUCCUUAACCCGAGGAGUCCUCUAGCCGCUACCCUGGGUCCCAGUCCCUUCCCUCCAACUGCUUCCUUCACAGGCCUCGCCAUCGCUUUCUAAAUAGCAUACGCUCUUUAAGACCCCUCUUCCCUCCCUGAGUCACCCGGUCCACCCGACUGUUCCUUUGAGUGGCAUAGAAGCGAGGAUACGUAGAAGGAACUCCCCUCGCACGUGUCUUUCCAGCAUUUACCUUUCUGUGUCAGAAAUAGCUGAGAGGUCUCACCCCUGGAUUGGGACGGAUGGAAGUGAUCAUGGGAAGCUUAAUUUGCACAACUGUAUCGGCUGCUAGGAUACUGGACACCUUCGCAGUUCUGUAACUUCAGCUCUACUAUCAUCUAGUGCCCCACCAAACCUGCCACCAGACCGACUCACCUGGACUGGCUCCUCCAAGACACCACUGCAAAUAGGAC